UACAUAGGGGGCAAGCGUUGUCCGGAAUGACUGGGCGUAAAGGGUGUGUAGGCGGUUUCGCAAGUUGGAAGUGUAAUACCUAGAGCUUAACUCAGGUGCUGCUUCCAAAACUGCGGGACUUGAGUGUCGGAGAGGAAAAUGGAAUUCCUAGUGUAGCGGUGGAAUGCGUAGAUAUUAGGAGGAACACCAGAGGCGAAAGCGAUUUUCUGGACGACAACUGACGCUGAGGCACGAAAGCGUGGGGAGCAAACAGG
rnacentral:rRNA from 1 species